CGGAACGUGUCCCGUAGUGGGGGAUAACGCCGCGAAAGCGGCGCUAAUACCGCAUAUGCUCUACGGAGGAAAGUGGGGGACUCGUCAGGCAACUGAGGGGCCUCACGCUAUGGGAGCGGCCGAUGUCCGAUUAGCUUGUUGGUGGGGUAAUGGCUUACCAAGGCGACGAUCGGUAGCUGGUCUGAGAGGAUGAUCAGCCACACUGGGACUGAGACACGGCCCAG
rnacentral:rRNA from 1 species